rnacentral:rRNA from 1 species
AUGUUGUUUAUAAUUAGUUGUUAUAGCAUAUUGGCAUAUCACAUUCGUUUAUCUUUUUAUAAUGAAUCAUGGAUAAUGGUAUUGGACCUUACUAAUGUGCAUCCUACUAUUUUACCCUAUAUUUUAGGUGACUACCGAAUUCACUUGGCGGGGCAGGCCUCACAACACCAAAAAUAUACUUGCACACUUCAUGCAGCAUUGGCAACAAUGGAGUCUUUGAAGAAAUUCCAGUACGCAGAAUUUCAGCCACCAAAAGAUUUUGAAUGGAUUUUGUCGGCUAUAAAACUUACCGCAGAAUAUAAGACUAUCACUGAGAAGAACAUUGGAGAAGAAGCGGAUAUGGCACAAAGGGGUUGGAGACGCCUUGAGGCUGGUCUAUACACUCUUCAAGAGAUUGGCGCGGAAGGACACAAUACUCUGCAGCCUAAGAAAGACCCGAUACGUUUCAAGCUUAAGUCCUAUUCAAGAAUUGAUAUCAACGAAAACGAAGGCGAAGGCCUGAAAGUCGCAGUUCGUGAUGUAAGAGCUGGAACAGUUUUCUUGAUAUAUUUCAGAAUUUCCCGAAACUACUUCACCUUGAAGCCUGGAGAGAUUUACCACUACGACGCCACGAAGGCUUAUGUAAGCCCGUCAUUUUCCAUCCCUGCUUCUCAUGUGGUAAUGAUGAUUGGGUCAGGUGAUACUGUGAUAUGCACAGAGCUGCCUAACGGAGGUACACAAUGUGAGAACAGUGUUCAUCUGAAUUUCCAGAACAGUGCAGGGAAACUGUUCGGUGACGAUGGCUUUGGUAAGGUUGGGUCCAGCUCUGUGAAGGGCCUAUACAAAAUCACUGUCUGA